rnacentral:sRNA from 1 species
AUACAAAUUUAAAGAGAGAUGGUAAUAUUAAUUUCUCCCUUCUUUAGCAGUUGUAUCUAUUUCUUAGCCUUAUGCGUCUUAGAGGUAACUUGUUUUUUUAACAGUCAAUUUUGUAAGCAGGAAGAAGCUUUUAUUUCUUUACUUAUGUCUAGGUUCCUUUGGUAUCAUCCACAAGUGAGGGGUACACAGCAUCUCAACCCUUGUACCAGCCUUCUCAUGCUACAGAGCAACGACCACAGAAGGAACCAAUUGAUCAGAUUCAGGCAACAAUCUCUUUAAAUACAGACCAGACUACAGCAUCAUCAUCCCUUCCUGCUGCGUCUCAGCCUCAAGUAUUUCAGGCUGGGACAAGCAAACCUUUACAUAGCAGUGGAAUCAAUGUAAAUGCAGCUCCAUUCCAAUCCAUGCAAACGGUGUUCAAUAUGAAUGCCCCAGUUCCUCCUGUUAAUGAACCAGAAACUUUAAAACAGCAAAAUCAGUACCAGGCCAGUUAUAACCAGAGCUUUUCUAGUCAGCCUCACCAAGUAGAACAAACAGAGCUUCAGCAAGAACAGCUUCAAACAGUGGUUGGCACUUACCAUGGUUCCCCAGACCAGUCCCAUCAAGUGACUGGUAACCACCAGCAGCCUCCUCAGCAGAACACUGGAUUUCCACGUAGCAAUCAGCCCUAUUACAAUAGUCGUGGUGUGUCUCGUGGAGGCUCCCGUGGUGCUAGAGGCUUGAUGAAUGGAUACCGGGGCCCUGCCAAUGGAUUCAGAGGAGGAUAUGAUGGUUACCGCCCUUCAUUCUCUAACACUCCAAACAGUGGUUAUACACAGUCUCAGUUCAGUGCUCCCCGGGAUUACUCUGGCUAUCAACGGGAUGGAUAUCAGCAGAAUUUCAAGCGAGGCUCUGGGCAGAGUGGACCACGGGGAGCCCCACGAGGUCGUGGAGGGCCCCCAAGACCCAACAGAGGGAUGCCGCAAAUGAACACUCAGCAAGUGAAUUAAUCUGAUUCACAGGAUUAUGUUUAAUCGCCAAAAACACACUGGCCAGUGUACCAUAAUAUGUUACCAGAAGAGUUAUUAUCUAUUUGUUCUCCCUUUCAGGAAACUUAUUGUAAAGGGACUGUUUUCAUCCCAUAAAGACAGGACUACAAUUGUCAGCUUUCUAUUACCUGGAUAUGGAAGGAAACUAUUUUUACUCUGCAUGUUCUGUCCUAAGCGUCAUCUUGAGCCUUGCACAUGAUACUCAGAUUCCUCACCCUUGCUUAGGAGUAAAACAAUAUACUUUACAGGGUGAUAAUAAUCUCCAUAGUUAUUUGAAGUGGCUUGAAAAAGGCAAGAUUGACUUUUAUGACAUUGGAUAAAACCUACAAAUCAGCCCUCGAGUUAUUCAAUGAUAACUGACAAACUAAAUUAUUUCCCUAGAAAGGAAGAUGAAAGGAGUGGAGUGUGGUUUGGCAGAACAACUGCAUUUCACAGCUUUUCCAGUUAAAUUGGAGCACUGAACGUUCAGAUGCAUACCAAAUUAUGCAUGGGUCCUAAUCACACAUAUAAGGCUGGCUACCAGCUUUGACACAGCACUGUUCAUCUGGCCAAACAACUGUGGUUAAAAACACAUGUAAAAUGCUUUUUAACAGCUGAUACUGUAUAAGACAAAGCCAAGAUGCAAAAUUAGGCUUUGAUUGGCACUUUUUGAAAAAUAUGCAACAAAUACGGGAUGUAAUCCAGAUGGCCGCUUCUGUACUUAAUGUGAAAUAUUUAGAUACCUUUUUGAACACUUAACAGUUUCUUUGAGACAAUGACUUUUGUAAGGAUUGGUACUAUCUAUCAUUCCUUAUGACAUGUACAUUGUCUGUCACUAAUCCUUGGAUUUUGCUGUAUUGUCACCUAAAUUGGUACAGGUACUGAUGAAAAUCUCUAGUGGAUAAUCAUAACACUCUUGGUCACAUGUUUUUCCUUCAGCUUGAAAGCUUUUUUUUAAAAGGAAAAGAUACCAAAUGCCUGCUGCUACCACCCUUUUCAAUUGCUAUCUUUUGAAAGGCACCAGUAUGUGUUUUAGAUUGAUUUCCCUGUUUCAGGGAAAUCACAGACAGUAGUUUCAGUUCUGAUGGUAUAAGCAAAACAAAUAAAACAUGUUUAUAAAAGUUGUAUCUUGAAACACUGGUGUUCAACAGCUAGCAGCUUAUGUGAUUCACCCCAUGCCACGUUAGUGUCACAAAUUUUAUGGUUUAUCUCCAGCAACAUUUCUCUAGUACUUGCACUUAUUAUCUUUUGUCUAAUUUAACCUUAACUGAAUUCUCCGUUUCUCCUGGAGGCAUUUAUAUUCAAAGUGAUAAUUCCUUCCCUUAGAUGCAUAGGGAGAGUCUCUAAAUUUGAUGGAAAUGGACACUUGAGUAGUGACUUAGCCUUAUGUACUCUGUUGGAAUUUGUGCUAGCAGUUUGAGCACUAGUUCUGUGUGCCUAUGAACUUAAUGCUGCUUAUUGUCUCAUUCUGACUUCAUGGAGAAUUAAUCCCACCUUUAAGCAAAGGCUACUAAGUUAAUGGUAUUUUCUGUGCAGAAAUUAAGUUUUAUUUUCAGCAUUUAGCCCAGGAAUUCUUCCAGUAGGUGCUCAGCUAUUUAAAAACAAAACUAUUCUCAAACAUUCAUCAUUAGACAACUGGAGUUUUUGCUGGUUUUGUAACCUACCAAAAUGGAUAGGCUGUUGAACAUUCCACAUUCAAAAGUUUUGUAGGGUGGUGGGAAAUGGGGGAUCUUCAAUGUUUAUUUUAAAAUAAAAUAAAAUAAGUUCUUG